rnacentral:lncRNA from 1 species
GUACACGAUAUGGGUAUUUGACAGGGCAGAAGAACAAAGUGAGGUAUAAUUUAAAAGAUAGAAACUAUAUUUAUAUCAAUCAACAAAGUUUUAAAUCAAGUAUUAAUAUAAAGCUUUUUAAUAAUAAUAAUAAUAAUAAUAAUAAUAAUAAUAAUAAAAAUUAUUGGGCUGUGUUUUCUUUUGUUUUUAGUACCAGGUAUUGAACCCAGGAGGACUUAACCACUGAGUCACAUCCCUAACCCUUUUUAUUUAUUUAUUUAUUUAUUUUCAGACAAGGUCUCACUAAGUAGCUUAGGGCCUGGAUAAGUUGCUGAGGGUGGGCUCAAAAUUGCAUUCCUCCUGCUCAGCCUCCCAAGCUACUGGAUUACACCAUAUCUGGCUUUGUGAUUAUCAUAAAUUAAUAAUUCUCUCAUACUUAAUGACCUUUGCUAUACCAGUGCUUUCUAAUAACUCUAUUAGACUGAUUUUUAUAAUACAUUAUUUAAAAGUAAGAUUUAGGAAAAUUUUUCUGCUAGAUUUUUUUGAGGAUAUGUCCACCUUUGCUAGGUUUUUAUAUAAUAAUCAUUAAUUAUUCAAAUAUUUCUAUUAAUGUGCAUUCAUUUAUAUUAAUGUGUAUAUUCAUGUUCACAAAUUGUAUAUGUAACACAUUGUCUCAAGUUUCUUCAAGUAGCUUUUGAAAUUUUGUCAGUAAGAAGGGCAAAGAACCAAUGUAACAAUACUUUUGCAUUUUUAUAAAUCAAAUCAGGAAAAAAGUAGUUUUCUCACUAUCAGAAAUCUUUUUGGCAUUUGUUCAUCCAAAAAAUUCCCAAAGUUUGAAAGUUUUAUAAGAAGUCAGGAAAAAACAAUAAGGCAGCUAAAGGAAAACAAUAGCACCUAUUAUUAUCUUUUGUCAUAUUUAUAAUUUUAGUUGGAAAAAAUCAUGCCUCACAUCAUUAUUUGAGAAUCAAAAAUGAUUUAUUUGUGUUUCUUUAACUCAUAGUAAAUGGGAAAAUAGAAAAAUAUCUUUUGAAUAGUG